GGCACAUAGUAAGCAGUCAAGAAUAUUUGUGGUUCUACUGACUGAAGUGAUCCUAUCUUGUGACUCAUGCAUGGCACGUCUAUAAGUCAAGCUGGAAUCCUCUAAAAUAAGUCACAUGGGAAAAAAUUCUGAUCUUAUUCUAGACGAAGAAUGAAAAGCCAGGAAGCUACAUAACCCAAGGGUCCCCAGUUUGAAAUGUCUUGUUACUGCUGACAAGACCUGCAUGACUGACCAUUUGCUCCCUAAGAGAUGAAAACUGACAUUGCUUUGAAGUUCAAAAUGACAUUGCCAAAACAAGAAGAAAUGGAAAAUAACUGCAGCACGUUUAUGACAUUCGUUUCUUUCUCCACAUGAAACAUACAAUGAGAACACUUUAUAGAUGAAUUGUGUCUUCGAUUGAAUAGAGAAUGGUGGACUAGCUUUGGUUUUAUGGAAUUGGAUAAUUUGUCAUAGUUUCUGUCCCUGGAAAAAUGAGAACCCAAAGGAAAACAAGUGGAAAGCCUUUAAAAAAUAGUGAUAUAAUACACAGCUGAUAUUUUUGGUUCAUAGAAUACUUUAAAGUACAUCAUUUACAAAGCAAAUUACUAAAUUAUAAGAAAUGCUGUCAUCAUCAAUAAACAUUCACAGAGCUUCAGGUUUUAACACAAAGCAUUCCUCAUAUUUCAGGUGAUAUUAUUUAUGAAAAAAUUACUUGGAGAUUGCUCCAAGGUUAUCACAUUCUUUUCAAACCAUCAAUUCCCUAUUAUUAUUUACUAUUAUUAGUUAUUAUUUAUAAAUACAUAUGAAUACACAAUGAAAGCAUGCUUUAUGUAUAGCAUAUAAAUAUAUUUGAACUUUACUUUCCCCACAUACUAUCUAUCCUGCAAUAUUACACCACCAGUAAAAGAGUAUCUAAAUAUUAAUUGCUCCUAUCACAAUAGUGGAAACUAGAAGAGAUAAGUUUUCCCAAAUCUGAGUAGAAAACCAUGGUUAGCGGAUAUCCAUUUGUCCAUUUACGGAAUUAUAGCAAUAAAAUCCAGCCAAUAAUUUUUAGUUUGCUUAUUAUGUAGUGGCAAAACAUAAUGUCUUUUUCUCACCCAUUACAAGGGUCACAGCUGACAUACCUAUAACAAAAACCAGAUGAACAAGAAAAAUGCAUAAUGUGUUCAUUUAAUAAAGUUUUAAGUGACGUGGGAGCCUUCAGAAAUGCAGACCCAAACCCAGGGAAAAUUUUGAAUUUGUAUGCUUCUGAAGAAAGAAGUGAAUAGUUGUGGAGAAACGUGAUUCGACAAAAAGAGUAUGACCUAAUGAUAAUAAACUGUAGAGAAUUUAGCAAA
ensembl:lncRNA GRM7-AS3 GRM7 antisense RNA 3